rnacentral:ncRNA from 1 species
CUUAUCAAGAGCGGUGGAGGGAACGGCCCUGUGAAACCCGGCAACCUGUCGAAAGGCAAGGUGCUAAAUCCGGCGGUGAUGAUCGAAAGAUGAGG